UUGCGGCUACAUCACGUUGAAACACCCGUUCUCGUACGAUCACCGAAGUUAAGCAACGUUUAGACUGGUUAAUAUCUAGAUGGGUGAGCGCGUAGGAAUAGCA